rnacentral:rRNA from 1 species
UACGGAAGGCAGCAGUGGGGAAUAUUGCACAAUGGGCGCAAGCCUGAUGCAGCCAUGCCGCGUGUAUGAAAAAGGCCUUCGGGUUGUAAAGUACUUUCAGUCGUGAGGAAGGUGUUAAGGUUAAUAACCUUAGCAAUUGACGUUAGCGACAGAAGAAGCACCGGCUAACUCCGUGCCAGCAGCCGCGGUAAUACGGAGGGUGCGAGCGUUAAUCGGAAUUACUGGGCGUAAAGGGCACGCAGGCGGUUAAUUAAGUUGGAUGUGAAAUCCCCGGGCUUAACCUGGGAAUGGCAUUCAAGACUGGUUAGCUAGAGUCUUGUAGAGGGGGUUAGAAUUCCAUGUGUAGCGGUGAAAUGCGUAGAGAUGUGGAGGAAUACCGGUGGCGAAGGCGGCCCCUGGACAAGACUGACGCUCAUGUGCGAAAGCGUGGGGAGCAAACAGGGAUUAGAUACCCGU